UACGUAGGGCGCAAGCGUUAUCCGGAAUUAUUGGGCGUAAAGAGCUCGUAGGCGGUUUGUCGCGUCUGCCGUGAAAGUCCGGGGCUCAACUCCGGAUCUGCGGUGGGUACGGGCAGACUGGAGUGAUGUAGGGGAGACUGGAAUUCCUGGUGUAGCGGUGGAAUGCGCAGAUAUCAGGAGGAACACCGGUGGCGAAGGCGGGUCUCUGGGCCGUAACUGACGCUGAGGAGCGAAAGCAUGGGGAGCGAACAGG
rnacentral:rRNA from 1 species